GCCCUGGUUGAUUAAUGGAAAUCACCCACACCAGCUUAGUAGAGCAUGAACGCAUUGAUGUAGGAGACGGAGGUUCGAAUCCUCCCCAGGGCA